GGACGUGAGGUCAAUCUGGCUAUGACAUUUGUCACCCCAUUGGCUGCUAGGGUUGAUUCUGCUGAUCUGGCUGGCUAAGCGGGUGACCCCUUCGCCCCUCACCACUCCAUGUGUAUCCCUCCCAAGGCUGCGUGCACCAUUGAAGAGGACAACCUUCCCUGAUAGAGGAGGACUGUUCUUUGGUUGAGGGUAUACAAGGAGCUGUGGUCCCCUGCUGGAACCUCCAAACAAGUUCUCAAGAAGGAAGUCUGGAGGCAAAUGUGGCUUUAGGGAUGAUGACAAGGGACACGGUCUCUCCU
rnacentral:snRNA from 1 species